rnacentral:rRNA from 1 species
AGUGAACGCUGGCGGUAGGCCUAACACAUGCAAGUCGAACGGCAGCACAGUAAGAGCUUGCUCUUACGGGUGGCGAGUGGCGGACGGGUGAGGAAUACAUCGGAAUCUACUUUUUCGUGGGGGAUAACGUAGGGAAACUUACGCUAAUACCGCAUACGACCUACGGGUGAAAGCAGGGGAUCUUCGGACCUUGCGCGAUUGAAUGAGCCGAUGUCGGAUUAGCUAGUUGGCGGGGUAAAGGCCCACCAAGGCGACGAUCCGUAGCUGGUCUGAGAGGAUGAUCAGCCACACUGGAACUGAGACACGGUCCAGACUCCUACGGGAGGCAGCAGUGGGGAAUAUUGGACAAUGGGCGCAAGCCUGAUCCAGCCAUACCGCGUGGGUGAAGAAGGCCUUCGGGUUGUAAAGCCCUUUUGUUGGGAAAGAAAAGCAGCAGGUUAAUACCCCGCUGCUCUGCCGGUACCCAAAGAAUAAGCACCGGCUAACUUCGUG